GACGAACGCUGGCGGCGUGCUUAACACAUGCAAGUCGAACGGAAAGGCCCUGCUUUUGUGGGGUGCUCGAGUGGCGAACGGGUGAGUAACACGUGAGUAACCUGCCCUUGACUUUGGGAUAACUUCAGGAAACUGGGGCUAAUACCGGAUAGGAGCUCCUGCUGCAUGGUGGGGGUUGGAAAGUUUCGGCGGUUGGGGAUGGACUCGCGGCUUAUCAGCUUGUUGGUGGGGUAGUGGCUUACCAAGGCUUUGACGGGUAGCCGGCCUGAGAGGGUGACCGGCCACAUUGGGACUGAGAUACGGCCCAGACUCCUACGGGAGGCAGCAGUGGGGAAUAUUGCACGAUGGACGGAAGCCUGAUGCAGCAACGCCGCGUGCGGGAUGACGGCCUUCGGGUUGUAAACCGCUUUCGCCUGUGACGAAGCGUGAGUGACGGUAAUGGGUAAAGAAGCACCGGCUAACUACGUG
rnacentral:rRNA from 1 species